rnacentral:rRNA from 1 species
UACGGGGGGGGCAAGCGUUGUUCGGAAUUACUGGGCGUAAAGGGCUCGUAGGCGGCCAACUAAGUCGGACGUGAAAUCCCCAGGCUCAACCUGGGAACUGCGUCCGAUACUGGAUGGCUUGAAUCCGGGAGAGGGAUGCAGAAUUCCAGGUGUAGCGGUGAAAUGCGUAGAUAUCUGGAGGAAUACCGGUGGCGAAGGCGGCGAUCGC